CUGGUGGCGAGUGGCGAACGGGUGAGUAAUGUAUCGGAACGUAUCCAGUAAUGGGGGAUAACUAAUCGAAAGGUUGGCUAAUACCGCAUACGCCCUACGGGGGAAAGCAGGGGAUCUUCGGACCUUGCGUUAAUGGAGCGGCCGAUAUCUGAUUAGCUAGUUGGUGAGGUAAGAGCUCACCAAGGCGACGAUCAGUAGCUGGUCUGAGAGGACGACCAGCCACACUGGAACUGAGACACGGUCCAGACUCCUACGGGAGGCAGCAGUGGGGAAUUUUGGACAAUGGGCGCAAGCCUGAUCCAGCCAUUCCGCGUGAGUGAAGAAGGCCUUCGGGUUGUAAAGCUCUUUCGCAAGGGAAGAAACGAUGCAGACGAAUAAUCUGUGUUAAUGACGGUACCUUGAUAAGAAGCACCGGCUAACUACGUGCCAGCAGCCGCGGUAAUACGUAGGGUGCAAGCGUUAAUCGGAAUUACUGGGCGUAAAGCGUGCGCAGGCGGUUUUGUAAGUCAGAUGUGAAAUCCCCGAGCUCAACUUGGGAACUGCGUUUGAAACUACAAGACUAGAAUAUGUCAGAGGGGGGUAGAAUUCCACGUGUAGCAGUGAAAUGCGUAGAGAUGUGGAGGAAUACC
rnacentral:rRNA from 1 species